GUGUCAGCCGCCGCGGUAAAACCAGCACCUCAAGUGGUCAGGAGGAUUAUUGGGCCUAAAGCAUCCGUAGCCUGUUCUAUAAGUUUCCGGUUAAAUCCAUUAGCUCAACUAAUGGGCCGCCGAAAAUACUGUAGAACUAGGGAGUGGGAGAGGUAGACGGUAUUCGGUAGGAAGGGGUAAAAUCCUUUGAUCUAUUGAGGACCACCUGUGGCGAAGGCGGUCUACCAGAACACGUUCGACGGUGAGGGAUGAAAGCUGGGGGAGCAAACCGGAUUAGAUACCCAGGUAGUCCCAGCUGUAAACGAUGCAGACUCGGUGAUGCACUGGCUUGUGGCCAGUGCAGUGCCGCAGGGAAGCCGUUAAGUUUGCCGCCUGGGAAGUACGUACGCAAGUAUGAAACUUAAAGGAAUUGGCGGGGGAGCACCACAAGGGGUGAAGCCUGCGGUUCAAUUGGAGUCAACGCCAGAAAUCUUACCCGAAGAGACAGCAGAAUGAAGGUCAAGCUGGAGACUUUACCAGACAAGCUGAGAAGUGGUGCAUGGCCGUCGCCAGCUCGUGCCGUGAGAUGUCCUGUUAAGUCAGGUAACGAGCGAGAUCCCUGCCUCUAGUUGCCACCAUUACUCUCAGGAGUAGUGGGGCGAAUUAGCGGGACCGCCGCAGUUAAUGCGGAGGAAGGAAGGGGCCACGGCAGGUCAGUAUGCCCUGAAACUUUGGGGCCACACGCGGGCUGCAAUGGUAGUGACAAUGGGUUCCGAAUCCGAAAGGAGGAGGCAAUCCUCAAACGCUACCACAGUUAUGAUUGAGGGCUGUAACUCGCCCUCAUGAAUAUGGAAUCCCUAGUAACUGCGUGUCAUUACCGCGCAGUGAAUACGUCCCUGCUCCUUGCACACACCGCCCGUC
rnacentral:rRNA from 1 species